GAUGAACGCUGGCGGCGUGCCUAAUACAUGCAAGUCGAGCGAACAGACGAGGAGCUUGCUCCUCUGACGUUAGCGGCGGACGGGUGAGUAACACGUGGAUAACCUACCUAUAAGACUGGGAUAACUUCGGGAAACCGGAGCUAAUACCGGAUAAUAUAUUGAACCGCAUGGUUCAAUAGUGAAAGACGGUUUUGCUGUCACUUAUAGAUGGAUCCGCGCCGCAUUAGCUAGUUGGUAAGGUAACGGCUUACCAAGGCAACGAUGCGUAGCCGACCUGAGAGGGUGAUCGGCCACACUGGAACUGAGACACGGUCCAGACUCCUACGGGAGGCAGCAGUAGGGAAUCUUCCGCAAUGGGCGAAAGCUUGACGGAGCAACGCCGCGUGAGUGAUGAAGGUCUUCGGAUCGUAAAACUCUGUUAUUAGGGAAGAACAAAUGUGUAAGUAACUAUGCACGUCUUGACGGGACCUAAUCAGAAAGCCACGGCUAACUACG
rnacentral:rRNA from 1 species